UACGUAGGUGGCAAGCGUUGUCCGGAUUUACUGGGCGUAAAGGGCGUGCAGGCGGUUUGUUAAGUCUAGGGUGAAAGCUCCCGGCUCAACUGGGAGAGGUCCUUGGAUACUGGCAGACUUGAGGAGGGUAGAGGAGAGUGGAAUUCCCGGUGUAGUGGUGAUAUGCGUAGAUAUCGGGAGGAACACCAGUGGCGAAGGCGGCUCUCUGGGCCCUGCCUGACGCUGAGACGCGAAAGCGUGGGGAGCGAACCGG
rnacentral:rRNA from 1 species